rnacentral:lncRNA from 1 species
GACGAGUGCAACGAUUUCAUCUGAGAUUCACUGAAGGCAUUGUCAAAGACGACAAGCAACAUCAUCGAUGUUGCCCCGCUCCGCUGGCUGAUCUACUGCACAUUAUCCAAUAUUUGGAGGCACAGCCAGAUUUGUCAAGCUGUACAAGCCUGUUGUGGGUGGUGUGUUUUCUAAACUUCGAAGCUGGAUCUGGGAAAUCGAAUUAGAACUCGAUUUAUCAGGUGACUUUCCCAGUCUGUGGAAUAUAUUAGGAUGUCAAUAUGAUGAAGAAUAAAUUCAUUGUAUUUAUCUAAAAUUGUAUGGAUUGUCCUAACUAAAGCUGAAGAAGAACUCUGCAAACUAUAUGGAACUACUCUGAAUCUAAACAAGACUCCAUCUAUUGAAAAUGCUAUAUAAACCCUACUGUCUUUGUGAAGUGGAAUUAACCAAAAACUAUGUUUUGAAUCUAUUUUAGAAAAUAUUUUUGCAUUUGUGAUGUUUCCGAAAAUCGCAUCAAUAUUCAAAGGUGCCUCAUAUUGAGGUGUGUUGUAUUUAUCAUUAUUUCUAGCAUCCAAACAUAAUCUUAAUUCACCAUUAUUUUCGUUCAACUAUAAUAAGAUUAAUGUAUUUUGAAUUGAAUCUUUCAAUUAUUUUCUGUUUUAUCAUUUUUGUUAUUUCUUGUUGAACUUGAUUUCGAUAUUGAUAAGGAGUAGGGUUUGUUUCAGAUUUGAAAUUUUCUAUUCCUUUAACCUCUAUUUUAUGAACGUAUUCGUCUGUUACUCUAUUCUCAUUAUUAAUUAAAUUUACUUGAAUUUAUUUACUUGAUUUAUAAUAUUAUUAUUCAUUUCUGAAGUAAGUUUUUUCAAUUUCUAUAAAUUACCUAGGAUGUUGGUGAAUUUCUGCAUAUUGUAUUUUGUUAAAAUUUGUUGUUGGUAGAUUGCUUACUGAAAAUUUCGUGGAUUAUUUGAAGUUUCCCCCUAAUUGUGUGUCUGUUGUGUAUCUGUCCUAUUAUCAUUUUGUAAAUGUAAAUGUAAAUUCCACAUUAAAUGACAAUCGAUGAAGACGCCCAAAUAUUUGAUUCUUUCUACUGAUUGAAUUUUGAUGGGUAGACCUUGAAUGUUGACCUCAAAAUUGUUGAAGGGAACGUGUCUUGAUUUGUUGCACGUGAAUGUCAUGUAAUUCGUUUUUUCUAAAUUUACUGUGAGGAGUUUGUUUCUAACCAGGUUUUAAUACGACUAAAACCUUUUUCUGCUUUUUCCUUAAGAGAAAUCCAGCUCUCGUCUUCAUAUAAUAUAACUGCCUCAUCAGCAAAUCUUAUUAAAUCCCCACCACUCUC